GUUAGGGGGCCAAAGCCAGUUUUUUGGUGUAAGCAAGAUAUAUUAUGUGUAUAUUACCCUAAU
rnacentral:tRNA from 1 species